rnacentral:rRNA from 1 species
AUUGAACGCUGGCGGAAUGCUUUACACAUGCAAGUCGAGCGGCAGCGCGGGGGCAACCCUGGCGGCGAGCGGCGAACGGGUGAGUAACAUAUCGGAACGUACCCCGUCGUGGGGGAUAACACAGCGAAAGCUGUGCUAAUACCGCAUACGACCUGAGGGUGAAAGCGGGGGAUCGCAAGACCUCGCGCGAUGGGAGCGGCCGAUAUCGGAUUAGCUUGUUGGUGAGGUAAAGGCUCACCAAGGCGACGAUCCGUAGCUGGUCUGAGAGGACGACCAGCCACACUGGAACUGAGACACGGUCCAGACUCCUACGGGAGGCAGCAGUGGGGAAUAUUGGACAAUGGGCGCAAGCCUGAUCCAGCAAUGCCGCGUGUGUGAAGAAGGCCUCGGUUGUAAG